UCUUUAUUUUUAAAGAAAAUUUCCAAACUACAGAAAGUGGAGGGAAUCGGACAGUGAUCCCACGAGCCUGUUACCGGCCUCAUCAGUCAUCCACACUGGGUCCUUCCUGUUUGAGGGGUUUCCAGGUGUGCGCCUCCAGGAAGGCAAUGCGUCUCGCUGCCCCGAGAACCUUCUGUAAAACCCCAGAGAUUCCGUGACAGCAGAUCCUUGGCGGGAACGCAGAGCGCGAGCUCUCAGCAUAGGACAGAUUUGACAGGAGAGCCAACAGCUGGGACACAAGUAUUUUUGUAUUAAGGGGAAAGAAGAGUUCUGGUUAAAGAGAAAUCUCCACCUAUUUGGACUAAUUCCUCCUUGCUUCUCAUGUUUUGUGACAGAGCCUUGGGUCUGCUUUCCCCUAAUAGGACCAAAGAGGUGAGGGGAUGAGCCUAGGGCACCCAGGGAGUGGCCAGGGGGGGCUGCCGCCGGGAAGUCCUCUUAUGUGUGCUUCUUCAUUCAUUUGGCAAGGUUUCCCUGAGCACCUGCUAUGUGCCUUGUAUUGUGUUCCAGGUGCCUCCCCACAUGUGUGUAGCUUCCAUUCUAGUAUGGAAGAUGACAAUAGGCAGUAAGUAAAAUCCAUUGCACGUCAGACGGUGAUAGGUGCCACAGAGAAAGCUGAAGCAGGGAAGGAGCCUGGGGAGGGAGUGCUGGGGUGGGUGGCCAUCGUCAGCAAGGUGCCCAGGCAGGGCCCCUCUGGAGCAGACACAAGCAGGUGAGGGAGGGAGGCAGGGAGGAGUAAUCCAGGUGAGGGGACAGAAAGUGCAGAGGCUGGGGACGGGAGUUCUCCUUCUCGGGGCAGGGAGCAUCGUAGAGUGGCUGGCGCAGAGGCACGGCUGGGACAGGCCUGGGAGGUGAGGUCAAGGAGGGGAGUCUGUAGGGAAAAUUGGGGAAGCCACACUGUGUACGACCUUGAAGGCCUUUGUGAAGACUUUUGUUUUUCCUCUGAGUGAGAAGGGACGCGAUUGGUGGCUUUGAGGCAAGAGGAUUGCAAGGUCUGGCUUGAGUUUCGACAGGAGCUCUCUGGCUGCUGAGUUCAGAGCAAGUUGUAGAAGGAAGGCCAGAAGCAGGAGGAGGCUGUUGUGUCAUUCCAGGUGACAGAUGAUAGCAGCUCGAACCAGGGUGGCUGUGGCCGGCUUGGUCAGAAGUGGUCAGUUAUGGUUACCUUCGGAAGGUAGAGCCAACGGAAUUUGUGGCCUGAAGGAAUGUUGGAGAUGAGACAUAGAGAGCAGGGGCGACUCCCAGGUAAUCGAUCGAAGCAACUAGAAUCAUGGAGUUGCCAUUUCCUGAAAUGGAAACUCGGCGAGAAGGGCGGGUGUUGGAGGCACACUCAGCUCUGUUUGGGGCAGGUAGAUUUGACAUGCCUGUGUAACACGAAUGGAGCUCUCAAGUCUGCAGCGGGACAGGAGUCCACGGUGCAGGGGAGAGGCCGGGCCUGGAGUCCCUCCAGCUGGUGGGUGAGAUCACUAAGGGCAUGAUCACAGGUAUAAAGGAGAAGAGACCCAAGGACUGAGCCACGGUUCUGAUGUAACAGGAGCCAGGCCAGGCCGUGUCUCCUGGGCCUCCUCGCCUGGGUUUGAUGAAGGGACUCGUGGUGCUUCGUCCCUCUCCAUUAGCCACUUCCAGUCCUUGGCAUUGCCCUGAGUUAAGGUGGGGGUUGAGCGAGCCUCAUGUCAGCUGAAAGAGGAGAACCUCUCUCAGGUUAACCUGAGCCACAAGGGUUGCGGUAGAGCUACAUGCAGGGAUAGGCAGGCAGGAGUUCUGACUGUGUGUCACAGAAUGCAGCUUAGCCACUGGAAAGUCAUUCGGGACCCAGUGCUCCAGGCACUGAGUUGGUCCCUGGCCCUCUAAGGAGCAGAGGUGUGUUGGUGUUCACUUCCUUCCCUCUGCUCCCCGUCUCUUUCCUGGAGUUUUAUCUUACUCGUGCUGCGCCACCUUCACAUUUUUUUAAAAAGCUGUCUGAUCUUCUAGGGGCUUCAGCUUUUAUACACCGUCCCAACUCCUUGUGCUCCAAAUUCAAACUGGCAGCCCAAUAGCUACUGGUCUGGUUAGUUGAUUGGGCUCAGCCCUGCUGGGUGGAGCUUCUGCACCAGGCAAUAUGAUUGGCUGCCGGCCAGCCUGUAUUUCUGCAGUCUUUGGGUCAGGUGACUGCUUUUGCUCCAAUCAGGUGUCUGACUCUUGCAGAGGUAUUCUGGGCACAGAAUCCAAGGUCAACAAUAGCCCUGACAGUAGCAACAACAGCAUGGCGUGCUGAUUAAGGUGGCGUCCGGGUCAGACAGACUGGGCCUGGUCCAAGCCCAGCCUCCACCACUGACCGUGUGACGUUGGGCAGCUCGUUCGAGAUAACCGUACCCCCAUCGCUGCGUCUGUACGUGGGAAAUGGUCAAGCUGCCUACAUCUCAGCGUCGUGGGGAGGAGGAUGGCUUGGCACAGUGCCCGGUGUGUGGCGAACGCUAUUAUUGUUGUUUCACACAACCCUGAAAGCUUUGGACACUUGCUGUUGGCACGGGAAUGAUGAAAAGAUUUAUCUUUAGGAACAUAAAAAAAAAAAA